UACGAAGGGGGCUAGCGUUGCUCGGAUUUACUGGGCGUAAAGGGCGCGUAGGCGGAUUUCUAAGUCGGGGGUGAAAGCCCGGGGCUCAACCUCGGAAUUGCCUUCGAUACUGGAAGUCUUGAGUACGGGAGAGGUGAGUGGAACUCCGAGUGUAGAGGUGAAAUUCGUAGAUAUUCGGAAGAACACCAGUGGCGAAGGCGACUCACUGGCCCGUUACUGACGCUGAGGCGCGAAAGCGUGGGGAGCAAACAGG
rnacentral:rRNA from 1 species